rnacentral:rRNA from 1 species
UUCCGGUUGAUCCUGCCAGAGAUCACUGCUAUCGGUGUUCGACUAAGCCAUGCGAGUCAAAUGUUCUUCGUGAACAUGGCGUACUGCUCAGUAACACGUGGAUAACCUGCCCUUAGGUCUGGCAUAACCCCGGGAAACUGGGGAUAAUUCCGGAUAGAUCAUCGAUGCUGGAAUGCGCUUUGAUCCAAAGCUAUUGUGCCUAAGGAUGGGUCUGCGGUCUAUCAGGUUGUAGUGGGUGUAAUGUACCUACUAGCCUACGACGGAUACGGGUUGUGGGAGCAAGAGCCCGGAGAUGGAUUCUGAGACAUGAAUCCAGGCCCUACGGGGCGCAGCAGGCGCGAAAACUUUACAAUGCGGGGAACCGCGAUAAGGGGACACCGAGUGCCAGCAUCCUAUGUUGGCUGUCCAUAUGUCUAAAUCACAUGUGUUAGCAAGGGCCGGGCAAGACCGGUGCCAGCCGCCGCGGUAACACCGGCGGCCCGAGUGGUGGCCACUAUUAUUGGGUCUAAAGGGUCCGUAGCCGGUUUGGUCAGUCUUCCGGGAAAUCUGACGGCUCAACCGUUAGGCUUUCGGGGGAUACUACCAGGCUUGGGACCGGGAGAGGUAAGAGGUACUACGGGGGUAGGAGUGAAAUCUUGUAAUCCCUGUGGGACACCAGUGGCGAAGGCGUCUUACCAGAACGGGUCCGACGGUGAGGGACGAAAGCUGGGGGCACGAACCGGAUUAGAUACCCGGGUAGUCCCAGCUGUAAACUAUGCUCGCUAGGUGUCAGGGACGGUGCGACUGUCUCUGGUGCCGCAGGGAAGCCGUGAAGCGAGCCACCUGGGAAGUACGGCCGCAAGGCUGAAACUUAAAGGAAUUGGCGGGGGAGCACCACAACGGGUGGAGCUUGCGGUUUAAUUGGACUCAACGCCGGGA